GCGAUGGGCAUGGAGGACUCUGACCCAGCCAUGCCGCGUGCAGGAAGAAGGCCCUCUGGGUUGUAAACUGCUUUUGAUAGGGAAGAAAGAGGUUAUGCGUAACCAGUUGACGGUACCUAUCGAAUAAGCACCGGCUAACUACGUGCCAGCAGCCGCGGUAAUACGUAGGGUGCAAGCGUUGUCCGGAUUUAUUGGGUUUAAAGGGUGCGUAGGCGGUGGAUUAAGUCAGUGGUGAAAGACGAUCGCUCAACGAUUGCAGUGCCAUUGAUACUGGUUCACUUGAGUAGUGCAGAGGUGGCCGGAAUUGAUCGUGUAGCGGUGAAAUGCAUAGAUAUGAUCAAGAACGCCGAUUGCGAAGGCAGGUCACUGGACACUUACUGACGCUGAGGCMCGAAAGUGUGGGGAUCAAACAGGAUUAGAUACCCUGGUAGUCCACACUGUAAACGAUGAUAACUCGCUGUUGGCACCUAGUGUCAGCGGCUUASGGAAACCGUUAAGUUAUCCAYCUGGGGAGUACGCCGGCWACGGUGAAACUYAAAGGAAUUGACGGGGGUCCGCACAAGCYGUGGAGYAUGUGGUUUAAUUCSAUGAUACGCGAKGAACCUYACCUGGGCUAGAAUGUGAGUGAAGCUAUCAGAAAWGKUARCGUCCKYWAGGACACMAAAACAARGUGCUGCAUGGCUGUCGUCAGCUCGUGCCGUGMGGUGUUGRGUUWAAGUCCCGCAACKAGMGCAACCCCUGCKARUAGUKACCAGCGAGUUAUGUCG
rnacentral:rRNA from 1 species